GACGAACGCUGGCGGCGUGCUUAACACAUGCAAGUCGAACGGAAAGGCCCUGCUUUUGUGGGGUGCUCGAGUGGCGAACGGGUGAGUAACACGUGAGUAACCUGCCCUUGACUUUGGGAUAACUUCAGGAAACUGGGGCUAAUACCGGAUAGGAGCUCCUGCUGCAUGGUGGGGGUUGGAAAGUUUCGGCGGUUGGGGAUGGACUCGCGGUUUAUCAGCUUGUUGGUGGGGUAGGGGCUUACCAAGGCUUUGACGGGUAGCCGGCCUGAGAGGGUGACCGGCCACAGUGGGACUGAGAUACGGGCCAGACUCAUACGGGAGGCAGCAGUGGGGAAUAUUGCACAAUGGGCGGAAGCCUGAUGCAGCAACGCCGCGUGCGGGAUGACGGCCUUCGGGUUGUAAACCGCUUUCGCCUGUGACGAAGCGUGAGUGACGGUAAUGGGUAAAGAAGCACCGGCUAACUACGUG
rnacentral:rRNA from 1 species